GUCACUUUGUGCUGCGUUUAGAGCGCCUGCAUACGCCUUUUAAGCAGGGUGUCCGGGGUUCGAAUCCCCGACGGGGCACCA
rnacentral:tRNA from 1 species